rnacentral:rRNA from 1 species
UACAAUGGCCGGUACAAAGAGAAGCGAGACUGUGAGGUGGAGCAAAACUCAAAAACCGGUCCCAGUUCGGACUGCAGGCUGAAACUCGCCUGCACGAAGUUGGAGUUGCUAGUAAUCGCAGAUCAGAAUGCUGCGGUGAAUGCGUUCCCGGGUCUUGUACACACCGCCCGUCACACCAUGGAAGGUUGGGGGUGCCCAAAGUCGGUUAGAAAAUAAACUGCCUAAGGCAAAACCAAUGACUGGGGUGAAGUCGUAACAAGGUACC